rnacentral:rRNA from 1 species
GACGAACGCUGGCGGCGUGCCUAAUACAUGCAAGUCGAACGGUCUUUUCUAUGGAAGCUUGCUUCCACUGAGAAGAUAGUGGCGAACGGGUGAGUAACACGUGGGUAACCUGCCCAUAAGAGGGGGAUAACAUCCGGAAACGGGUGCUAAUACCGCAUAGUUUUCUUGAUCGCAUGAUCGGGAAAGGAAAGACGGCCUUUGUGCUGUCGCUUAUGGAUGGACCCGCGGCGUAUUAGUUAGUUGGUGAGGUAAUGGCUCACCAAGACGAUGAUACGUAGCCGACCUGCGAGGGUGAUCGGCCACAUUGGGACUGAGACACGGCCCAAGCUCGUACGGGAGGCAGCAGUAGGGAAUCUUCCGCAAUGGACGAAAGUCUGACGGAGCAACGCCGCGUGAGUGAAGAAGGUUUUCGGAUCGUAAAUCUCUGUUGUCAGAGAAGAACAAGUUGGAGAGUAACUGCUCCAGCCUUGACGGUAUCUGACCAGAAAGCCACAGCUAACUACGUGCCAGCAGCCGCAGUAACAC